ncrna:unclassified sequences ZMP/ZTP riboswitch
GAAAGCACAGGCAACUGACGGAACGUGGAGCACACCACAUGGGAGCCUGCUGUAAUACGAACUGUCGACCGUCUGGGCAAACCUG